rnacentral:rRNA from 1 species
UACGAGGGGGGCAAGCGUUGUUCGGAAUUAUUGGGCGUAAAGGGUGCGUAGGCGGUUUGAUAAGUUUGAUGUGAAAUCUCCCGGCUCAACUGGGAGGGUGCGCCGAAAACUGGAAUGCUUGAACGUGGGAGAGGAAAGCGGAAUUCCUGGUGUAGCGGUGAAAUGCGUAGAUAUUCGGAAGAACACCAGUGGCGAAGGCGGCUAACUGGCCCAUUACUGACGCUGAGGCUCGAAAGCGUGGGGAGCAAACAGGG